CUCGCACCAUCAGAUCAGUUCCCUAAAAUUGCAACAUGUCAAAAUCAUUGAAGAACCAAUAUAAUAACUAUAUAUUUGGUUGCUCAUAUAAGGAAAAACAUAUGCAUGGUUCCUGAUAUGACUAUAUAUUUGGUUUUUUUUGCCUUGGGGGUGGUGGUAGUGGGGGAGUGAAUACCAAGAUUGAUACAAAAGCAAGGACAAAUUCCUACAUGGGAUUAACAUACUCUUGAAUGCUCCUGGAGAAAGACAUUCCAAUAUCGAGAUCAGCAUCAUAUGCAUGGUUCACUACCAUUUCAUCAACAAAAUGGGACUCUUAAAUACCUAAUCAACAGCAGUUCUCUUUUGGACCAAAAGGUCAAGGCAUUAACAAUAAAAAGUAUAAUAAAUUAAUACUCCCAAAGAUUAGUAGGAUUUGUAGAAAAACAGCAAAUCCUCCUCCCUCUAUCUUAUGCUAUCCAAAGGAAAGCACUUCAUUGAGACAUUGACUAACUUUAGCAAGUCUUCUAUAAGAAAACCAUCUGCAUUUUAACUUUUUUCUUUUGGUACUGGAAAUUUUUGAAGAGUGAAUAUGCCAAAAAUUGAACCAUUGAUAUGAUCUCUUGUACCAUGAGAUGGCCCUCAACCAUUGGACAUGAUAGAUUGUUUGACCAGACAUUCAUAGUUAAUUAUAUGAUCUACUAGAUAUUAAAUAAGGAUCAAACAUGCUGAGUUCUUAAAAUGCUUAAUACCCGGUAAAAGAAGUGCAAGAAUAUCAUGUAAUUUUUAAGUUUCUCAAUUGAUUAACAGGUUGCUCCAUCAAAAUUGGUCAUUGUGCUUUAUUUUAAGAUGAAAAGCCAUGCUCUUGUAAGUGAAAGUAGACAUUUUAUUUUGAUGUUUAUAUGUAAAAAAGCAAAAUUAAAGCCAUUUGAUGGAGUGUGUGAAUUGGUGGGAAGCUUAUAGGUGCUUUUUUGGCCCAUGUUAGUUACGCCCAGGCCCAAAGCAGUUUUAGCAGCUUUGGAGUCUUGGCCAAAGCCUCAACACACAAAAAGGCCCACAGGGAUCAACAAAGUUAUAGGUAUUGUUAUUAAAACAUUACCGUGCAUUAUCAAUGUACAGAGUUAAUACAUUUAUUAGACUGUAUCCUUCAGACAAUAGCAUCCAUAUCUUCAUUGACCCCUAAAAACAUUACCGUGCAUUAUAAAUGUUCAGAGUUAAUAAAUUUAUUAUAGGACCCUUCUGAUACUAGCAUUCAUAUCUCCAUGCCCCCUUAAAAAUUAUUUACUUUCCAAUUGAGAUCAACUAUAAAUCUACCCAAUUUAUACCCUUUUAGUAAAGUAUGAAAUUUCAAUCGUAAGAACUCCCCUAGCCCUAAACCAUCACUCCUAAAGCAAAUAAUCAAAUAUAUCUAUAAUUACACAGCCAAGCAACAAAUUUUAAAAUUUUACCAUUUUCACUUUUCACUCCUUGAACUUGAUUAGUUUACCCAUUUAACAGUUCCACUAUUGUGCCUCACAUUGACAGUUAAGUGCCCAAACCAAAGGUGCACUAAACCAAACUUCUACCUUUGUCCUAAAACUCUACUAGCUGAUACAUUUAUGUUUAAUGAUCAGAACAAAUAAUACUCUUCCUGAAAAUAGAUAAAGUCCUGAGUGAAAAAUUGCCAAAACGUCUAAAUAAAUGCUGAAGUAGUUCACUCAGAUGGUAACCUUUAUAACCAACACCCAAGUUUGAUCACACCAUAACAUGUGUACUUAACAGCACCACCAGAUGAUAACAAUUAUCAACAUCAUCCAGUAAGAAUUUUUAAGUCAAAAAACAAAGUAAAAUUCAUUUCUUUACAAGACCAAAAAGUGACUCUUAACAUGAGGGGGAAAAACUGCAAAAUUUGAUAUUUUAAACAAACUCAAUCUUACAUGUAAUGCAAGAAAGAAAACAGGAGGAUAAAUUUUAUCUAGAAUUUAUGCAUCCUUAAAAUCUAUGAAACAACAAAUUCUAUCUUCUUUCAAGUAGAAAAAAAGUUGUACUUGGACUUUGAAUUUGAAUUGUAAGUACUUGAAUUUGAGCUUUUAGUUUAGAUUUUAUAAAGAAAGAUCUAUAAUUGUUAACAGGGGAAAAUAUAUCCAACCAAAUCUUAUAGUGCAGAUUUGAAAUUACACCUUUUAUAAAGUAAUUUAAUAUCCACACUAAAAAGUUUUAAUCCACAUUUACGAACUUAAUUUUUAUUCAUGAAUCUAAUGAACUAAAUAAAAUCAAUAUUUUAUAAAUUUUAUUCUUCAAAUUAGAAAAAAAAAAAAGUUACAACCUAAGAUCAUUGUUCAGGUAAAGUGUGGAUUAACAAAGUCCUGGUCUCAACCAAAGACAAACUCUACGAACAAAAAGGUGAAAGGGCACAAGUUGAUGAGUUGGUAUUGUGGGAACUGGUAGCACACAUGAACAGCAAGCACUCAAUAAAGCAAAAUAUCUGAGUGUAAAACAAACUUUACAUCAAUAUAGCAUUAAAUCUUGUAACGUCAAUCAUAUAAUUAAAUUUAUAACAAGCAACACGAUCAUGGUAUAUGUUGUCAUUGUGUGAAUUGGAGCAAUUGCUGUAAUAACUGAUAGGAGGAAGGCCAAUUUGUUGAGUAAUUCAGUACAAGGUAUAGUGAAUUACAAGUUUUAUAUAGACACCAGGUAUAUGGGCUGCAGAAGUGAGUGUUAAUCAACUUUAUACAAUAGAGACACAGAAACAAUGUUACCUCAAUAGCAUCAACAGUGAGAAGCAGGACAAUGAUU
rnacentral:misc_RNA from 1 species